rnacentral:rRNA from 1 species
AUUGAACGCUGGCGGCAGGCCUAAAACAUGCAAGUCGAGCGAGCGGCGGACGGGUGAGUAAUGUCUGGGAAACUGCCUGAUGGAGGGGGAUAACUACUGGAAACGGUAGCUAAUACCGCAUACCAUCAGAUGUGCCCAGAUGGGAUGAGCUAGUAGGUGGGGUAACGGGUCACCUAGGCGACGAUCCCUAGCUGGUCUGAGAGGAUGACCAGCCACGCUGGACCUGAGACACGGUCCAGACUCCUACGGGAGGCAGCAGUGGGGAAUAUUGCACAAUGGGCGCAAGCCUGAUGAGCCCAUGCCGCGUGUGUGAAGAAGGCCUUCGGGUUGUAAAGCACUUUCAGCGGGGAGGCGUUACCCGCAGAAGAAGCACCGGCUAACUCCGUGCCAGCCGCCGCGGUAAUAC